rnacentral:rRNA from 1 species
AUUGAACGCUGGCGGCAGGCCUAACACAUGCAAGUCGAGCGGACGAAGGGGGCGUUCGCCUGGCUUCAGUUACGGACGGGUGGGUAAUUCAUAGGAAGAUACCUGGUAGUGGGGGCUAGCGUCCGGGAACGGGCGCUAAUACAGCAUACGUCAUGAUGGAGAAAGGCGGGGUUCAUCGGACAUAACGCUAUCUGCUGAGCCUAGGUGGGAUUAGCUAGUUGGUGGGGUUAAUGCGUACGAAGACGAUGAGCCGUAACUGGUCUGAGAGGAUGAUCAGUCACACUGGAACUGAGACACGCGCCAGACUCCUACGGGAGGCAGAAGAGGGGAAUAUUGGACAAAGGGCGAGAGCCUGAUCCAGACCUGCCGCGUGUGUGAAGAAGGUCUUCGGAUUUUAAAGCACUUUAAGUUGGGAGGAAGGUCAGUAAGUUAAUACCUUGCUGUCUUGACGUUACCAACAGAAUAAGCCCCGGCUAACUUCGUG